GCGGACGGGUGAGUAACACGUGGGCAAUCUGCCCGAUACUCUGGGAUAACGCUUGGAAACGAGUGAUAAUACCGGAUGGUCUUCUUGGCCGCAUGGCCGAGAAGGAAAACACUCGUUCACGUCCGUGUCGGAUGAGCCCGUUGCGCAUUAGCUAGUUGUUUAGGGACUAGGGACUUAGGAGAUGAUGCGUAGCCGACCUGAUAAGGUGACCGGCCACCCUGUUACUGAGACCUACCCACACUACUCCUACCGGCAGCAACAGGGAAUCUUCUUCUUGGGGGAAGACCUCAUGGAGCAGCGCCACGUGUGUGAUGAAAGCCUUCUGGUUGUAAANCUCUGUUUUUGGGACCAACCGGAGACUGAGGGAAUGGGAACUUUCUGACGGGCCGCAGGAGGAAACCCCCCUAAUUACGUGCCUCACCCGCGGUAACACGAAUGGUGAAGUUCGUCCUUAUUCACUGGCCGUAAAGCCCGCGCAGGCGCUAUGUAAUUCUGAUGAAAGGCCGAACCUCAGCUUCACACUGCCUUA
rnacentral:rRNA from 1 species